rnacentral:rRNA from 1 species
CCUACGGGUGGCAGCAGUGGGGAAUAUUGGACAAUGGUGGCAACCCUGAUCCAGCCAUGCCGCGUGUGUGAAGAAGGCCCUCGGGUUGUAAAGCACUUUCAGUGAGGAAGAACGCCUGGUGGUUAAUACCCAUCAGGAAAGACAUCACUCACAGAAGAAGCACCGGCUAACUCCGUGCCAGCAGCCGCGGUAAUACGGAGGGUGCGAGCGUUAAUCGGAAUUACUGGGCGUAAAGCGCGCGUAGGUGGCUUGAUAAGCCGGUUGUGAAAGCCCCGGGCUCAACCUGGGAACGGCAUCCGGAACUGUCAAGCUAGAGUGCAGGAGAGGAAGGUAGAAAUCCCGGUGUAGCGGUGAAAUGCGUAGAGAUCGGGAGGAAUACCAGUGGCGAAGGCGGCCUUCUGGACUGACACUGACACUGAGGUGCGAAAGCGUGGGUAGCAAACAGGAUUAGAUACCCCUGUAGUC